rnacentral:lncRNA from 1 species
GUCUACUGGUCGAUGGUUCUAAAAGAGCUUUCAGUUUUGUUCCAUAGAGCCCCAAGGUGCAUUCUAGAUACAACUGACAAAUCAAAGCAUGGGGGAACAUGGCUUCCUGGUGCGGUUUUGAAUAUUGCUGAAUGCUGUUUGCUACCUGUAAGUUACCCGAGAAAAAGCAUGAUAACAGUUUGGCUGUUGUAUGGAGAGAUAAAGGCAAUGAUGAUUCUCCUGUUAAUCAGAUGACAUUAAAAGAACUCCGAGAACAAGUAAUGUAUGAUUUUUAUGAUAUACCUCUGUUUCCACCACAUUCAUUAAGCAUGUACUCUGGCAUAGUGUCUUUGUUAUUUCUCUUUUGCUUAUGUCCUAACAACAUGGUUCACAGGUUGGUGGCAAAUGCACUAGAUGCUACUUUCACAAAGGGUGAUGCUAUUGCAAUUGACAUGCCGAUGACAGUCUAUGCAGUUAUUAUAUAUUUGGCAAUUGUUCUAGCAGGAUUUGUUGUUGUAUCAAUAGCCGACAGCUUUGCAGCCAAGGAAAUCACAACUCGUUUGCGUGUUUCAAAAGCAAAGGGUAUCUUCACUCAGGUAAAAUUUCUACUUCUAGAGGCACCAUCUUAUGCAUCAAAUAGUUGAGAAGGAUCACCAGAAAAGCAACCAACUUGUUCCCACAUGUUUAUUUUUCCUCUCUCAUGAUGCAUUUUCUUAAUGAAGAUAUGGUUUAUAUGAUAUUGUAUAUUAGUAUCUUUGGUAGAAAUUGCCUAAGAAUGGAGUAUAUCUGCUGGUGAUUUUUUAAUGUAUGUUUCAACCCCAUAAAUGACUUAAAAUAAUCAAAUGUGGGGAUAUAUUAUCUAUCAAUUGUGUCUUUCUGCAUACUGUCAAAUCUUAAAUAUAUUCACUGUCAAAUAAGCGAUCAUUGUGACCAUGGAACACUUCUUUUCUUAUUUUUGUUUGCAUACAUAAGAACCCUAGAGCAGGCUGGUGCCAAUGCGCAGGGGCCAUUUAGCACUUGAACAGCAGGCUUUCUUAGAUGAAACAGAGAGAAAUGAUCAUGGAAGUUGCCUAAACUUUUCACACCUGUAAAACCUCUGUUCUUCAAGAUUUCUGCUAGAAGGUUUGGUUAAUAAUAGUAAAGUUAAAAAAAAAAAUUUCUUGCUCCAUUAUCUAUUUUAGUACAUGGAGUCUUCAAUUUUUGCUCUAGUUUUCUGAUGUUUUAUUUUGUAAAUCUUAUUCUGCAUUCAGGACUUCAUUGUAAGAAGAGGUCGAAAAUUUCCUUUGUACAGGUAAAAGAUCACUCUUUUUUCCCUUUUUUUAGUGAUCUCUUUACAGAUGCUAGCUUUUGGGAACAUAUUUGGGGCAAUUAAGUGUCAAUCUGUAGGUCUUCUGGUCUAUAUAGGGUUUUAUUUUCCUCACACUUGUUUAUAUGAGUCAUAUAACUUAGAAGAUACUAGAUUUUGCUACUAACAAGUAUCUAUAGUAUAGUAAUGAAGUCAUAUAUAUGUUAUAUUAAUUUUUUUUUCUAGUUGCUCAUAAAAGAGUUGAAGAUCUUGACAUGGACAUACUGACUUUCUAAUGAAACAGAGUGUCCGUUUGAACUUCCUAAACCAGUCAAUAGGAAAAAUUAGCUCCCAAAACUCUUAUGAAUCCAAAAUGGAUUGGUGGUUAGAACAUGUCAACUGGGCUUAGAGAAUAAGCUUAUUCAACCUAGGUCCCUUUUUCUGGAAGUUCCUUUUCUUUGAAAGCGGGAAGGAGAGUGGUAGGCAAAUCAAUUUUGUUGUAAGCACCAAAUUUCAGUGUUUUCUUGUACUAAAACUUGAUUGAAUCUUUAAUUAUCCCUGAAGUCCCUCAACAACUUUGGUUAAUCAACCAAACUUUCCUUCAAAAUUUUAUUUAAGUGGCAAAGUUGCUUUCCCCCCAAAACUUAGUAGAUGUGCUAAUUACCACUCAAAAGCUCUUUUGGAUCUAGUACUAGAUUAGACCUGGACGUAGUUUUGUAUUCGUGACUGCUGCUAUCAUGAUGGCUAUUUGUGUUUUUCCUCACAGUCGAGUUGUAGAAGCUGCUCCACAUAAAGUGAUUCUGCUCCCUGCAAUAGGAAAAGAUGUAAAUGUUCAAUUAAGAGAACAAGAUUUAUCAUGGAAAGAUUUCCUUUCCCGUGCUGAUCAUCUUCCAAGGUAAUGUAAACACCUUUGGUGUUAGUUCACUUAGCUGGAAUAAGUAUUUUUGUGAUUGAUGGACAUGUCUAUAAACCACACGUCAUACUGAAGUUGUGUUUUUGUGCGUGUAGCACUCAAUUUGAGUAGUUUCUUGCAGACUUCCUAUUAUGUAUUAUAUGCUAGGCUGACAAAUUUUUUGACAUUUUUCACAGACCAAAUUACUACUCACCGGUCUAUCAACCAAUAGAUGCUGUGACUAAUAUCCUCUUUUCAUCAGGAACCACGGGUAGAGAUUACCUAACCACAAAAAUUGUUGUUUGCUCUGCUCUGGUAUUUCCUUCUAUGAAUAUAAAAUGAUUUCCUCUCAACAGGAGAUCCUAAAGCUAUUCCAUGGACUCAAGUUUCUCCAAUUCGAUCUGCUGCUGAUGCAUGGGCACAGUCCAAUAUUCAAGUUGGAGAUGUCCUUUGUUGGCCCACAAAUUUAGGAUGGAUGAUGGGACCUUUUAUAAUUUAUGCAUCCUUUCUAACUGGUGCAGCUCUAGCUCUCUAUCAUGGAUCUCCUCUUGACCGUGGCUUUGGAAAGUUUGUUCAGGUGAAUCCCUCAACACUUAUUUAAAAGAUGCCCCAUUGAUCUAUUUGACUAGGCCAUAUCUGGUUGGCAGGAACCACGAAUUCCAUUCUAAUUCAAUUCUUGAUUCCAAUGUUUGGAUACAUUAUCGAGAAGGGAAAUCCUACUUGUUCCUCCUAUAAUUGCCUCGAUCCCCCACCCAUUGACUAAUAUUUGUUUCUGCUAGAGCAGGAAGAAUUCUUGUUUCCAUGUCUAUGGAAAUCAUAUAAAAAGCAAGAGAAGAGAUCCCAUGUUCAAGCUUUCCACUCAAUAGGUGUGCGACUUGUUGGAGUGUAGGAUAUACAUCAUGGGCUCAUGGGCCAAAAUCCUAUAAACUUGAGCUUUUAGGACAAUUGGUUAUCUAACAUGGUAUCAAUGUCGUUUGAUGGGAGGUAAGGUGUUUGAAUCUCACCGCAUGUUUAUUUCCCCACUUUAUUAAACCCAUGUUUAAGCCCAAAACAGAGGCUACUCAUGAGGUAAGGUGUUGGAGUAUAUGAUAUGCAUUGUGGGCCCAAAUCCUAUAAGGCUUCAGCCUUUGGGAAAAUUGGUUGUCUAACAUAACUGCUUGACAUCCACAACUCUAGGAAAUGUUUCAGUGUUAGUCCAUAACUCCAGAGUUUUUUUUUUUUCUCCUUUUUUCCUGGAAAUUUCUCCAAUUCCAAUUUUCACUUAAUUUUGUAUCCAUACAUUGGAAAUUUUUAAUGGGAACCAUAUUAUCUGAUCCCUUGAUUCCUAUUAUGAUUCCUGGUCCUCCAUUCUGCUUCCAAACAUCGACAUGGCCUUAUGAGGGGUACAAUUUUUUGACUAUGUUAUUUUAAGACAAAUGUUCUCAUUAAGUAUGUUGGUUUUAGGUGUGCUUUCUUUCGAAGUGCCACUUGAAUCUGGUUCUUACUUAUCUCUGGGCUUUGAUGAGAAAGGAAAAACUUUCUUAUAUAAUCAUUGGCUGGCAUUGGUGUGCUUGUGUGUAUGUGUGGGUGUCUCUCUCUCCCUUUUAAAACUCUGAAAUAUGUAUUUGUCAUAAUAUAUUCAAAUAAUGUUGGUAUCAAUUCUAUGUUGCUUUUGGAUUGAAGGAUAGCUCAUCCUUAUAUCUUUUGGCUUGAAGGAUAGCUCAGCCAGAACCAUUAGUACUAGUUCAUUUCAAACAUGAUGAAACUUCCUGUUUGCAGGCCUACCUUCUCCAUCACCAAUAAAAGUAACCAACCUUAAUUUGCUUUAUCUGUUAUGCAUGUUCAGGAUGCGGGAGUAACUAUCUUGGGUACAGUUCCAAGCCUAGUGAAGACUUGGAAGAAUACGGGAUGUAUGGAAGGCUUAGAUUGGACAAAGAUAAAGUAAUCAUCUUAUUGAACUUCAAUAAUUCUGUCAAUUUUUAUAUUAUGUCCAAGAAAUGAAGUUAAAAGAAUAUCAAUCUAUGCAGGUCAUUUGCUUCCACCGGAGAAACAUCCAACGUUGAUGAUGACCUUUGGCUUUCUUCAAGGGCUCAUUACAAACCCAUUAUUGAAUGUUGUGGAGGCACAGAGCUUGCUUCAAGCUACAUCCAAGGAAGCAUGUUUCAACCGCAAGCUUUUGGAGCAUUUAGCAGCACUGCGAUGACAACAGGCUUUGUCAUUCUAGAUGAAAAUGGUGUUCCCUAUGUAAGACCAUGUACUAGCAGUUGUUUACUUGGUUCUACUCCUCCAAAAUUGUUCCACUUUCUAUGCUGGUUUGAUAACUAUAUGGAAGGGUGCUGCACUUUUUCAACUUUUUGGACAAAAUGGCUGCAUCACCACUGUACUGUAAUUGGCUAUAGAUCAGCACUUGCUUUAGUUUUUUUGCAGAAGUGAAAACCAUUUUGGAGGAAACAAACAUACCAUCCUAGGGUGUUUAUAUUUAAACAUAUGUGAUCAACUAUGUGACAGCCAGACGAUCAACCUUGUGUUGGUGAAGUGGGUUUGUUCCCUCUAAUCAUGGGAGCAACUGAUCGGUUACUAAAUGCUGACCAUGAGGAGGUCUACUUCAAGGGAAUGCCAAUUUACAAAGGAAUGGUACGCUGAUUGGAAUAGUGCUUAUUUGUGAUAUUUCUGGAAAAAUACAAUUCACAUUUAGAUAUGAUCAUGAAUGUACACAUUGCUACAACUUGCCAACUCCAUAAACACGGUUCUUCCAAAUGUUGUGUUAGUCGCCUUGUGUUUUGUUGCUGGCUGACCACCCAUGUUAUACAAUAAACAAAUUCACAAGGAACAACUCUGUGUAUGAUAUUUUGUUUGUUCUGAAUUGUUCAUCAAACUUGAGUGAUUAUAUUAUCAUCAAGCAAACCCUUAUACACAAAUAAUGGAUUAGUAAUUUAGAGUGAUAUUGCAAGUGUUCUUACUUAACUUCAUAUACAUAUAUGUAUAUAUAUUGGCAGCACCUCAGGAAACAUGGGGACAUCAUUAAGAGAACCGUAGGAGGUUAUUUUGUUGUACAAGGCAGAGCUGAUGACACCAUGAAUCUUGGAGGCAUCAAGGUACCACAUUCUUCUUAGUCCUUUCUCUGUUUUAGAAGUGUUCAUGAUGCAAGUUACAAGCUCACUCAAUAGACAAUAAGCCUCUGGUAGACAGGAAAAGUAUGAACUAAGAAAACAUUUAAUGAUAUGGUUCAGUCAAUCUGAUAAAAAAAGAAUACUUGCUUGGAUUUUGUGUGUUCACACAUUGAAUUUUAAGCUCACCUGAUUCUCAAUUCUUUUAAAUGUUGGCCUAUGAUUAAAAUACUUCAACUCUACCUAAAACUGUGUCCUUUUGUGAUAUGCAGACAAGUUCAGUUGAAAUUGAACGUGUGUGUGACAAGGCUGAUGAAAGUAUUUUGGAGAGUGCUGCAAUUAGCACUGCACCACUAAAUGGCGGUCCAGAAAUGUUAGUUGUAUUUGUGGUUCUGAAGAAAGGAUACAAUUGUGAACCCGAUGAACUGAAGAUGAAAUUCUCAAAAGCCAUACAGAGGAACCUUAACCCUCUGUUUAAGGUAAUGCCCUCUCUUUGAAUUCCUUUGGUGAAUCAUAUUCCCUUAUAGUUGAACUUGAGGGAUUAUUGGACAUCAUGCUGCUAUCAAACUGAUUGGAUCCCUGAAUUGAUGAUUAAAAUGGAUUGGAAUCACUAUAAAAGAUUGUGAUAAGUGAUUAAAACCAUCCAGUUCUAGGAAAUGUUUGAGUACAUGUUCAUUUUGAGUUGAUGAGUGUAUGAUGCAAACUGUUUGACUGAUUGACAGGUGAGCUUUGUUAAGAUUGUGCCCGAGUUUCCUCGAACUGCUUCUAACAAGAUACUGAGGCGAGUUUUGAGGGACCAAAUUAAGCACGAGCUUUCAGUUUGGAGUCGAAUUUAAAGCGACAUCAUCAAUUGUUGUGGGUGUGAUAACUUUUGAGAGAUGUGUGAUUGGAUUAUCCCAAAGGUCAUUGUGUCAAUGUUACUAAUAAGACAUGUAUUUCUUACAAUCAUAAUAAUGACCUAUCAUCAUAAUAUUAUUAUCAAUGAGGUGAAGGCAGGAUGUAGCUUGCCUUUUCUGUUUGGUUCAUAAGAAAGUUUCAUCACUAAGAUUAGUCCUUCCAACUAUAAGAACUUGGAUUUGAUAAUAAACCGUACUAAUUUUCACCAUUCAAUUUUCUUUUGCCUCAUGUUUAGGGUUUUGUACUAUGGUUCAUCAACAUUUGCUUCGGAUUUAAACUUAUUUUGGUAUUCUACAAUAAUUUACCAACCUUGUUUAUGGUUUUGUGAUAUCCCACAUUGAUUAGGGGAUGAAAUUUUUACUACUAUAUAUUUAAUUGACAUUUUUUUUAGUAGACAUUUUUUUAAAGUUGUGAGGAUUUAUUAGACCAACAACAAACAAUAUUUAUGCUAGAGGGAGCAAAUCAUGAUAAAUUAUAUAUUAGAGUCAAUCUUUGAUCUGAGCGUGUUCACAUUGAUUAGAAGGUGAAUGUCUUGAUGCUAUAUAUGUAACGAGUUUCUCUUAACUGGUAAUGUGUGUUUUAAAGCUAUGAGGGCCCAUGAGACUCAUAGCGAUUAGACGAGAGUGAAUUCUCUCUGUGAUUUAUGAUUUUUCUUCACUAUUCAAUAUUCCUCUGCACGCCCUCCCCACACAGCACCUGAAUGACUGUCUGGUUUGUCUUCACAGCCUUGUUGGAUGGUUUGAUGGUUGUAGCUUUCUCCUUCUCAAGCAGCACUCAUUCAUCUGCUUCUGGGAAUAUUGUCUAGUUUUUGAGUUGUAAGAGAAGCUGGAAAGAGAUACCCUACCUUGUAUGAGGCCUUCAGCCUUUAAGCUUCACUCUUAAUUCAUCACUAAGCAAACUCUACUUACCAUACACCAUGCUUUCCUUUCUAAACAAUCUCAUUUGUAUCAGUACAAGCUCCAUUCUUCUGUGAACUAGCCCAGUGGAAGACAAUGGGUAGCAGGGUUGAUCUCAGCCUCUCAAAGAGAACCAGAAAGCCAAUGCAGCCCCAACCCAGAAGAUACAAUCUGAAUCUGAGCUCGGAGACUGGCCGCCCCGAGCUUGAUGCAACUGAUGGAUGGUGAAGCAGAAGCAGCAAAGAUGAUGGUUCAGAGCAAUGGAAGAAUGAAGAAGAAAUGCAGCAACUCACCGGGCAGCCACUUUGCAGAGGAAGAAGAGAAGCAGCAGCCGAGUUCGGUGGUGAAACAAGGAAAACACGGUGUGAAGGGGCUGAGAUUGAGGGGAAUGGUGAGUAGGCGUGUCAAAAUCUUGAGCCAUUUGAUCAAAAGGAUCAUAUAACUCUUGAGAGGAGACGAGCUUUCUUUUCUAAUCAAUUUGUAGGAAGUUAAAAGCUCUUUUCCAAGUCCGAACGAAUUAUUUUGGGAGAACCGUCAUGAUUUUAUUUAAAGAAAAUUUCAAAAUAUUAAAAUUAUUCCGUUUAAAUCAUAAUUUUUUAUUCAACACGACUAAACAAAGACCUAGUUAAGAUAAGAUUGAUGGGUCAUGACUUAAAUUUGGUACGUCCAUUAGCAUGAUUUUGUAUCCGAAUUUAUUUUUUCAUUGGUAUAUUUGUUUUCUAUUUUUCAUAUUUUUAACCUUAAAUAUCAACCAUAUUGUAAAAUGAGAAAAUAAAUUAAAGUUAUAUUUUUAUCAAUACCAUUUUAUUUCCCUAAAUAAUAAAAUUUAGAAGGUAAAUUUAAAAUUGUCCCAUAGUAUCAAAUUAUCUAAUACAAAAUAUUAAAAUUAAAGAAGAUAAUACAAUAAUAAUAGUAUGUUUUAAUAGUCUUGGACGGUAUUUUUUGUUGAAUUAAAAAAUUAAAAAAUUAAAUAUUUUUUAUUAAAUUAAAAAUAACUUAUUAAUAUUAAUUAAUACAACUAAAAUGAACCUUUUAUCAACUAAUAAAUAAAUACCAUUAUCGUAUGACAAAAUGCAAUUGUUAAUAAGCAAGAAAGAAAUAAGAGAUUUCUAACCAACAUAUAUUUUAUUUAUUAUAUUAACAUUUUUAAUUUUAUAAAUAAAAUAUUUUUAAAUAUAUAAAAAAUUGAGAUUAGGCAUAAUUAUAUUAAUGAUAAUUUUUGGGUUUAUGAAUGGAAAAGUUUAGGUCAGUGGCCUGGAUCCGUUCCCUGAUUUUGAUGCUUAAUUGUUUGUACCUUUUUUAAACCUUAAAAAGUCAGUGGCACCUACUUUUCCGCAAAUUCUAGCUCAACAGUUGUACCAAAAUGACCAGAUAAAUGACCCCAAGGUGCUUCUGUGGGCAUUUUAGUCAUUUCGUAUCCCUUUGAUUCACAAUGCGCACGUGAUGAUCAGGCGCCCACCUUCCCCGCUCUCACCUGCUCCUCUAAAUAUCAAACUCUCACCAUGGCAAGCAAAGGGAAGAGGGAGAUCCUAGAGAGAGAAAGUCUGCCACUUUCAUCGAUCUUAGAAAGAGAAGGGGGUGGUCUGGAGAUGGGGAUGAGGGUAGCUGAAGUGGGAGUGGGGGAGCUGGUGAAGGCGGGAUUAUCCAUGGAAGAAGCUCAAGAAUUUGAGAGAAUUUUGAAGGCAGCAGUGGGCGGAGCCAGAGGGUCGGACCCAAGUGAGGUGUGGCGCGAGGUGGUGGCUCGGAGGGUGCUGAGCCCAUCGCACCCACAUGGGUUGCACCGGCUGGUCUUCCACUCGGUCUAUGCUGAAUGGGAUGAGUCCAUCAGAGGCCCUCCUCUCUACUGGUUCCCUUCUCUGUAAUAAUCUUCCCCCGCACCCUAACACCCUACACCCUCAUCACACCUUAUCCUUCUAUGUCAGCAUGUGGUGGGUCAUCUGCUGACGUGGAAAGAUCAUGUUGGUUGCCAUUUUGUGAUGCUUUACAAACCCCCUCUCUGCCUCCUUGGAUGUGUUAGUAUCUGUUUUUGCAUUGAAGGUAGUUUGUGCCCAUAUGUGUUUCAUGAUUUUGCCUCGUCAUCAUGGGCCCACUUGGGUGGGUCAUGUGAUGACAUGGAAAAAUCAUGUGGGGUGUGGGUUAUUGAUGGUGGGUUGUAAUGUUUUGCUGCUCCCUCCCUAUCUGCUUGUCUUCCAGUAUUUGUUUGCAGUGGAGGUGCUUGUGGUUUUGUGUAUUUGUGUAUUUGUGUCGGUGGCUAUUGUUUUCUCUGGGGGGUGUGCAGGUACUGUUACUGGGCUAGAAAUGUGGCCUCACCAAUCCACUUUGUGGUUAAUUUCAAUCAUUUUCAGUCCAUAUCAAUUAUUCUGUGUGGGAAGAGAACUUUCAAGAUUUUUGGCUAAGAUAGACAACUUGGAACUGUUGUUUUCGUCUCUUUCUCUUCACAUGGAUGCAUUCUGGACCUAUUAGCAUAUCUAUGUUUAUUGGUCAGUGGAUGAACGCCCUAAAUUUGGAUUGUGAAUGUGUCUUUCUUUCAUGAUUUAGUUUCUGCAUGCAUUCAAGUGAAGUAAGAUUUUGAGGAGAGCUUUAGAAAUGCAACUUCUACUUGUUUGUGAGGUUUUGUUAAUCAACUCAACAGAGUUGGUGUCUAAGAUCCCCGUUAAAUUGAUGUGCAUUUUUCAAUUACAAAUUGAACUUAACCAAUCUCAUCCCGGAAAUGCUUCUACUAUAUGUUUUUCCAUGAAUAUAAUUCAUUGUACAAUGAAGCCACAUUAUGUUAAUUAUGUGAUUAAUGUAUGCAUGUAAGCUUUAAAGUAGUUUUUUCUGCUUGAAUCAGUACUAAUCUAAUGGUCUGCAUUGCUAUUAGUUAUUGGUCUUUGGUUUCCAACUGGUCCCAGGUUUCUUUUUUUGUCAGAUAUGAGUCUAUGCAUACGAACUUGGGUAGAUUGAUGGAAACCUAUGGUCCACGGCUACUAGGGUUAUCAUACAAGGAUCCUAUAACAAGUUACAGCCUCUUUCAGAAGUUCUCUGUUCAAAAUCUUGAGGUUUGUCCUGAUAUUUAUGCAUACAUUUUGCAGAGAAUUGUUUUUUCAUUCGAGUUUAAUGUUUGUAAAUGAUUUUCAGGUCUACUGGUCGAUGGUUCUAAAAGAGCUUUCAGUUUUGUUCCAUAGAGCCCCAAGGUGCAUCCUAGAUACAACUGACAAAUCAAAGCAUGGGGGAACAUGGCUUCCUGGUGCGGUUUUGAAUAUUGCUGAAUGUUGUUUGCUACCUGUAAGUUACCCGAGAAAGCAUGAUAACAGUUUGGCUGUUGUAUGGAGAGAUG